rnacentral:rRNA from 1 species
AACGUAGGAGGCGAGCGUUAUCCGGAUUCACUGGGCGUAAAGCGCGUGCAGGUGGUUCGGUAAGUUAGGCGUGAAAUCUCCCGGCUCAACUGGGAGAGGUCGUCUAAUACUACCGGACUUGAGAGCAGAAGAGGAAGAUGGAAUUCCCGGUGUAGUGGUGAAAUGCGUAGAUAUCGGGAGGAACACCAGUGGCGAAGGCGAUCUUCUGGUCUGUUUCUGACACUCAGACGCGACAGCUAGGGUAGUAAACGGGAUUAGAUACCCCAGUAGUCC